rnacentral:rRNA from 1 species
GGUAAUGAUGGCAGAGAGGUCACACCCGUUCCCAUACCGAACACGGAAGUUAAGCUCUCUAGCGCCGAUGGUAGUUGGG